CUUGUACAGACAAGUUGGAUUUACUCUGUCAAGUCACGCCUACUACUACCACCACCACCAACACUAUUUUGUGAUUAUUGGUCGGGAGGGUGAGGGUGAACUUUACUUUUUACAUUUUCAUUCUCAUCGGUAUCAUUCCAUCAGUGGCAGCUUUCGUUUUACCAUCACCAUCAUCAUCACUAUCAUCAUCAUUAAUCAGGUGAACAGAAACAUGGAUUUGCAACAAAUCAACGCUGUAACCGAUCAGAACAGAAAACCCAUAUCCAAGCUGACCAGUCUACAGGAAGGAGAAGGUCAUUUGAUACUCGGGAUGAGGAUAGUGAAUGGCACAUUCGGUAAAAGUGUCUUGGUGGAGUUGGAAAAAACUGUAGUGUUUCUGCCGAAUCGAGCGACCCAUGUACUGGAGGCCAACAUCGAGAAGUUUGAACCGGAAAAAUACUUGCUUGUAUUCACAGGUCAACAACUCAUUGGUGGUUACUCCAAGCCACUUGCCACAUUUCAAAUUGUUACGAAAUAAUAAUAAAAAUUAUACAUUAUAUAAAUACACAAUAAUAAAAUCCUAAUUAUAAAUUAAUUGCAUUUUCAUUCACUCUUGCGUCUUCCUACGUUUUUGGCCUGACGUGGCCCACGACUCAUACACUCGUGACGUCACUUCUACGCUUUUGGUCUGAAGUGGCCCACGAACAGGUAAAAAUAAACAAAUGCGCGCAUACGCGUCUUCCUUCGCUUUUGGACUCAAGUGGCCCACGAAAGGUGCGCAUGUCAUACACUCGUGACGUCACUUCUACGCUUUUGGUCUGAGGUGGCCCACGACUCAUACACUCGUGACGUCACUUCUACGCUUUUGGUCUGAAGUGGCCCACGAAAGGUGCGCAUAUCAUACACUCGUGACGUCACACCUACGCUUUUGGUCUGAGGUGGCCCACGACAAGGGUGGCGCUUGCCCACAUACCGACAA